CGGCACCAGAUCCCGCAUCGCCCCGGCUCCCUGAACUGGUGACUUCACCGAGUCCGCGCGGCCCGAGUCAUACGGCAUCAGAUCGAGGUGUGUAGCCCGAGCCAACACUGGAGCAUGAUCUGGACGGGUCGGAGGUGGAUCACAGCAUCGAUCUGUCGCCUCUGAAUUCGCUUACGGCGGGCGGCUACAAAGCCACGACGAAAUCGCUUAUGCAUUCUCCUCUCAGAUCCCAUCGAACCUCUUUCCCUCGAUUUCUCUCUCGUGGAUCCCAGCAGACGACGACGUCGACGGUACGUCACCUCCGUAGAGGAGGACCUGCCGAUUGCCUUUCGAGUCUUCGGCUGGACCUUCCUCACCGACGCCGGUGUAGGCACCGACCGGACUUCACCGACAAGUACAACUCUACGCGGACAAGAAGAACCCCAAGGAGAAUCUCUGGGAUGUGAUAUAGCGCCCGGUGGAGGUUGUCAUGGCGGACCAGAGGCUGGCCAGUAGCGGCGUGCUUGACGAGGAGUGUUGGUGCAUCAGGGUCGUCUCCAAGGGCAGAGGCAAGGCCUCCAACCGGGCGAUUUUGUUUUGCCAAGUUGACAAAGCAAAGGAAGAUAUGCUGAACCAGCUAUACAGCUCAAUAAGGAUAGCUUCGCUGCCUUCCUCAAAGUUGUGUACAGAACCAAGUUGAGUACUCCUGACCAGGUCCAGAUGCGCUUCUAGAACUGUCCAGUUAACCUUGCAAUGACGGUGGACAAUAAAUGGCUGAGAAGAGUCCUUGUUAUUUCUGCAAGCAAUGCAUUUUUUGGUUGCUGGUUCUUAUG